rnacentral:rRNA from 1 species
AGUUCCUCCGUUUAUUAAAAGGGGGGGAGCAAAGAUUUUUUGGGGAAAGGGGGGCGGGAAAAUUUAGGAAAUCCUUCGGGGGGAACAUAGGAAACGUGAUAUACCCAUUAUUUGCAGACCAAGGGGGGCCUUGGGUCUCAACCAUAAAUGGCCCAAAUGGAUUAAUUGUAGGGGGGAACGCUCACUGGGGACGUCCCUUGUUGUUGGGGGAUGCCCAGCCCCCUGGAAUGAACACGUCCAGAUUCUGCGGGAGCAGCGUGGGAUUUUCACAAUGGCGCAAGCUGAUGCAGCCUGCCGCGUGUGGAAGAAGCCUUGGGUUGAAAGCAUUUCAGCGGGAGAAGGCGUGAGUUAAUACCUUGGCGAUGACGUUCCCGCAAAGAAGCACGGCUACUCCGUGCAGCAGCCGCGUUAUACGGAGGUGCAAGCGUUAUCGGAUUACGGGCGAAAGCGCACGCAGGCGGUCUGUCAAGUCGGAUGUGAAAUCCCGGGCUCAACCUGGGAACUGCAUUCGAAACUGGCAGGCUAGAGUUUGUAGAGGGGGGUAGAAUUCCAGGUGUAGCGGUGAAAUGCGUAGAGAUCUGGAGGAAUACCGGUGGAGAAGGCGGCCCCCUGGACAAAGACUGACGCUCAGGUGAGAAAGCGUGGGGAGCAAACAGGAUUAGAUACCCUGGUAGUCCACGCCGUAAACGAUGUCGAUUUGGAGGUUGUGCCCUUGAGGCGUGGCUUCCGGAGCUAACGCGUUAAAUCGACCGCCUGGGGAGUACGGCCGCAAGGUUAAAACUCAAAUGAAUUGACGGGGGCCCGCACAAGCGGUGGAGCAUGUGGUUUAAUUCGAUGCAACGCGAAGAACCUUACCUGGUCUUGACAUCCACAGAACUUUCCAGAGAUGGAUUGGUGCCUUCGGGAACUGUGAGACAGGUGCUGCAUGGCUGUCGUCAGCUCGUGUUGUGAAAUGUUGGGUUAAGUCCCGCAACGAGCGCAACCUUUAUCCUUUGUUGCCAGCGGUCCGGCCGGGAACUCAAAGGAGACUGCCAGUGAUAAACUGGAGGAAGGUGGGGAUGACGUCAAGUCAUCAUGGCCCUUACGACCAGGGCUACACACGUGCUACAAUGGCAUAUACAAAGAGAAGCGACCUCGCGAGAGCAAGCGGACCUCAUAAAGUAUGUAGUAGUCCGGAUUGGAGUCUGCAACUGGACUCCAUGAAGUCGGAAUCGCUAGUAAUCGAGAUCAGCAUGUUGGGUUUGGU